UACAGCAAUACCACUCUGAACACACCACAUCUCUUCUGAUCUUGGAAGCUAAGCAGGGUCGGACCUGGUUAGUACUUGGAUUAGAGGAAUAGCUCCAAGAGUUGCUUUGU
rnacentral:rRNA from 1 species